rnacentral:lncRNA from 1 species
GCACUUACAGUUACAGAUACAGAAGGCGCAAUCGGAGCACUAAGAUCAUGGGGUGAAGGCACACUGUCAUUACACGAUGGGUAAGGUGCGGAGCUACACUCUAAAGACAGAUUCACUAGAUUCCGACCUUCCCGCUGCUCUGUAUAGUCCUAUUGGAGGGCAAUACAAUACUCUAACGAUUCCUGCCUUGGUUGAUGAUGAAUUACCUUACUCCCUUUCUCCGAGUUGAGGACAUUCAUUGGCUGCGGUGCCAGUUACACGAUCGAACAUCAGGCAGUCACUUCACUAACAACUAGAAUGAUAGCAGAAUGGCUUAAUGAAACUGCCAAGACUAGAGGGAUUGGAAUGAUUGCAAACCCUA